rnacentral:rRNA from 1 species
AGAGUGAACGCUGGCGGUAGGCCUAACACAUGCAAGUCGAACGGCAGCACAGUGGUAGCAAUACCAUGGGUGGCGAGUGGCGGACGGGUGAGGAAUACAUCGGAAUCUACCUUUUCGUGGGGGAUAACGUAGGGAAACUUACGCUAAUACCGCAUACGCCCUUCGGGGGAAAGCCGGGGAUCGCAAGACCUGGCGCGGAUAGAUGAGCCGAUGUCGGAUUAGCUAGUUGGUGAGGUAAUGGCUCACCAAGGCGACGAUCCGUAGCUGGUCUGAGAGGAUGAUCAGCCACACUGGAACUGAGACACGGUCCAGACUCCUACGGGAGGCAGCAGUGGGGAAUAGUUGGACAAGUGGGCGCGAAGCCUGAUCCAGCCAUACCGCGUGGGUGAAGAGGCCUUCGGUAGUAA